rnacentral:rRNA from 1 species
AAUAUUGGACAAUGGGCGAAAGCCUGAUCCAGCCCUGCCGCGCGUGUGAAGAAGGUCUUCGGAUUGUAACUCACUUUACGUCGGGAGGAAGGGCAGUAAGUUAAUACCUUGCUGUUUUGACGUUACCGACAGAAUAAGCACCGGCUCACUUCGUGCCAGCAGCUGCGGUAAUACGAAGGGUGCAAGCGUUAAUCGGAAUUACUGGGCGUAAAGCGCGCGUAGGUGGUUUGUUAAGUUGGAAGUGAAAGCCCCGGGCUUAACCUGGGAAUUGCUUUCAAAACUGACGAGCUAGAGUACGGUAGAGGGUAGUGGAAUUUCCUGUGUAGCGGUGAAAUGCGUAGAUAUAGGAAGGAACAUCAGUGGCGAAGGCGACUACCUGGACUGAUACUGACACUGAGGUGCGAAAGCGUGGGGAGCAAACAGG